GGAUUGACACAUCGGUCGUGCCUUAAGGGGUAUGAACUGGUGUAGCCAGUUUCUCACCUUCUGGAGAACCGCGAUGUCCUUAAUUGGGUGCCGCGAGGAACCAGGACCUUUACUUUGAAAAAAUUAGAGUGUUUAAAGCAGGCAUUUUGCUUGAAUACAUUAGCAUGGAAUAAUAAAAUAGGACGGAUGGUUCUAUUUUGUUGGUUUCUAGGAUCACCGUA
rnacentral:rRNA from 1 species